rnacentral:misc_RNA from 1 species
UCCGGUUCAUCACCGGCAGUCUCCUUAGAGUCCCCAACUAAAUGAUGGCAACUAAGGACAAGGGUUGCGCUCGUUACGGGACUUAACCCAACAUCUCACAACACGAGCUGACGACAGCCAUGCAGCACCUGUCUCUGCGUUCCUUUCGGCACAAAAGCCUUUCUGCUUCUUUCGCAGGAUGUCAAGGGUAGGUAAGGUUCUUCGCGUUGCAUCGAAUUAAACCACAUGCUCCACCGCUUGUGCGGGCCCCCGUCAAUUCAUUUGAGUUUCAACCUUGCGGCCGUACUUCCCAGGCGGAGUACUUAUCGUGUUAACUUCAAUACUGGUAGGUUCCCCUACCAACAUUUAGUACUCAUCGUUUACAGCGUGGACUAC